CCUACGGGAGGCAGCAGUGAGGAAUAUUGGUCAAUGGACGAGAGUCUGAACCAGCCAAGUAGCGUGAAGGAUGACUGCCCUAUGGGUUGUAAACUUCUUUUAUAUGGGAAUAAAAUGUUCCACGUGUGGGAUUUUGUAUGUACCAUAUGAAUAAGGAUCGGCUAACUCCGUGCCAGCAGCCGCGGUAAUACGGAGGAUCCGAGCGUUAUCCGGAUUUAUUGGGUUUAAAGGGAGCGUAGGCGGUUUGUUAAGUCAGUUGUGAAAGUGUGCGGCUCAACCGUAAAAUUGCAGUGGAAACUGGCAGUCUUGAGUACAGUAGGGGUGGGCGGAAUUCGUGGUGUAGCGGUGAAAUGCUUAGAUAUCACGAAGAACUCCGAUAGCGAAGGCAGUUCACUGGACUGCAACUGACACUGAGGCUCGAAAGUGUGGGUAUCAAACAGGAUUAGAUACCCUAGUAGUC
rnacentral:rRNA from 1 species